rnacentral:rRNA from 1 species
AGAGUUUGAUCAUGGCUCAGAACGAAUGCUGGCGGCAUGCCUAACACAUGCAAUUCUAACGGUGGCCCCGCCUCGGUGGGGGCAUAGUGCCCCACGGGUGAGUAACGCGUGGGAACCUGCCCCGUGGUACGGAACAACUCCGGGAAACUGUCCCUAAUACCGCAUGCCUCCUUUGGGACAAAGAUUGUAUCGCCCUGCUACGGGCCCGCGGAUGAUUACCUUGUUGGCGGGGUAACGGCCCACCCCGGAGUCGAUCCUUACCUGGUCUGAGAGGAUGAUCAGCCACUCUGGGACUGAGACACGACCCAAACUCCUACGUUAGGCAGCAGUGGGGAAUAUUGGACAAUGGGCGCUUGCCUGAUCCAGCAAUGCCGCGUGAGUGAUGAAGGCCUUCGGGUUGUAAAUGUCUUUCGCACGCUACGAUGAUGACAGUCUCGUGAGAAGAACCCCCGGCUAGCUUCGUGCCCUCCCCCGCGUAAAUAGCAAUGGGGCUAGCGUUGUUCGGAAUUACUGGGCGUAUUGGGCGCGUAGGCUUUGUGUCAUUGCCCGCGUGAAAGCCCCGCUGUCUCCCUGAGAACCGCGCUUGAUACUGGCACGCUAGAGUUCGGGAGAGGAUGCUGGAAUUCCCUAUGUAUAGGAGACAUUCGUAGAUAUUGCCAAGAACACCGAUGGAUAAGGCAGACGUCUGUACCGACACUGACUCUGACGCUCGAAAGCGUGUGGAGCAUACAGGAUUAGAUACCCUGAUUAGUCCACGCCGUAGAAGAUGAAUGCUACACUUUGGGGCCCUUAGCGCUUCGUGUCUCACCUAAUGCGCUCUGCAAUCCUCCUGUAUAGUACGGACGCAAGGUCAAAACUCAAAUGAAUUGACGG